GGGGAUUUAGCUCAGUGGUAGAGCGCUUGCCUAGCAAGCACAAGGCCCCUGGGUUCGGUCCCCAGCUCCA
rfam:Rattus norvegicus chromosome 20, whole genome shotgun sequence.